AAGAUGUGGAAAAAUUGGAAUC
rnacentral:miRNA from 4 species